rnacentral:rRNA from 1 species
CACGUAGGGGCCAAGCGUUGUCUGGAUUUAUUGGGCGUAAAGAGCUCGUAGGCGGUUGGGUAAGUCGGGUGUGAAAACUCCAGGCUCAACUUGGAGACGCCACCCGAUACUGCUCUGACUUGAGUUCGGUAGGGGAGUGGGGAAUUCCUGGUGUAGCGGUGAAAUGCGCAGAUAUCAGGAGGAACACCGGUGGCGAAGGCGCCACUCUGGGCCGAAACUGACGCUGAGGAGCGAAAGCGUGGGUAGCAAACAGG